UAUUCUAUCUAGAUUAGAUUCCUAUUUAGUUAUGACAUAUCCUUACUCAAAUGCUCAGAAUCUUUAAUUUUCAUAAGCUCGACUGCAGGAAUAAUAGAGAGGAGAGAGAUGCUAAAGAGGGAUGUGGAGACCGUGUGAUUGAAUUUUGGUGGAAA
rfam:Populus trichocarpa isolate Nisqually-1 chromosome 18, whole genome shotgun sequence.